UUUUGUUUUGUUUUGUUUUGUUUUGGAAAGCAAUAAAGCCCAAAGCUCAAUUUGUUUUUGAUUUGCUGCAGUUGCUGAAAAGAAACACUUUGUCUCCAGCAAAGACAGAGAGGAGGACUUUAUGUAGCAGUAAUGUGAUCACAGCUAUUUGAUGUGGCCUCCAUAAUGAGGCCAACAGCGAGAAGCAAGUUCUCUAGAGGAGGUCAAGGCAAUAACAGGUAAAUGAACACUGUGCUACAUUCAAAAGAUGGGAUUUUGGUCUGGGUGAGGUGGCUUAUGCCACUAAUCCCAGUACUUUUGGAGGAUGAGGCAGGUAAAGUGCUUGAGCCCAGGAGUUUGAGAGCAGCCUGAGCAACAUGGCAAAAUCCCAUCUCUACAAAAAAUACUAAAAUUAGCAGAGCAUGGUGGUGCCUGCCUGUGGCCCCAGCUACUCAGGAGGCUGAGGCAGGAGGAUCACCUAAGCCCCAUACUGCAGUGGGCUGUGAUUGUGCUACUGUACUCCAGCCUGGGUAGCAGAGUGAGACCCUAUCUCAAAAGAAAAAAAAAUCGGAUUUUGAAUACAUCUGGAAUUAUGGUUGAGUUGUCUCUUGUAAUAUAGGUGAGCCAUUGAAAUCAGAGGUCCUGGAUUCUGAAUAAGACUGAGCUACAUCUGUUCUCAUGAAGUUCUGGACAGCAGCUGCUUGUGUGUGUGUGUGUGUGUAGCUUAGCUCUAAGACAGAGCUAGGUUAUGAGAGCCUGUCUUAUAUUUUUUUCUUUUGGUGUUAAAAAAUAAAUAGUUUUGUGUGUGUGUGUUUUGUUUGUUGUUUUUUUUUUUUUUUUUUGAGAUGGAGUUUCGCUCUUGUUGUCCAGGCUGGAGUCCAGUGGCGCAAUCUCGGCUCACUGCAAGCUCCACCUCCCGGGUUCAAGCGAUUCUCCUGCCUUAGCCUCCAGAGUUGCUGGGAUUACAGGUGGGCACCACCACGCCCGGCUAAUUUUGUAUUUUUAGUAGAGACGGGGUUUUGCCGUGUUGGUCAGGCUGGUCUCGAACUCCUGACCUCAGGUGAUCCGCCCGCCUCAGCCUCCCUAAGUGCUGGGAUUACAGGCGUGAGCCACAGCGCCCAGGCCAAUACGUUAUUUCUUUUCACAACUGAGACAUUCUGGGGCUCAUGUGGAAGCAUUCAAAAAUACAGUCACUGGAAAGACUUUAGUCAAGCCAUGAACAGCUUGCUGGCACAAAAUAAGGAAUUGAGAGAUGAUCUCAGCAGUACUGUGAACGUCUGUGUGAACUGAGAAGGUUUUCCUAGUCACAGGACAAGACUGCCUGCCCUUUAGUUUGUCCUCCCCACCACAUCUAUCCUGCACACAGCUGGCAGCUCUCAUGAGCUGUGUCCUGAAAGGAUAACCAAACAUCCUUUGUUCCUCACCAAAGUUCUUCGGCAACUCCCCUUCUUCCCCAACCCCUCCCAAUUCAAUGUGUAUAUUUAAAUCAAGAACGGUUCAUAUUGUAAGAAACUGAAAUACGUAAAAACUUUAAAACUCUCAAUUUAAGUAUAAAUUGCAUCUGUCGUUAUGCUGCCAACUUGCUAUCGUAAUCACAUAAUCUUGGCAGCCAAUGGACAAAUUUGAAACACGUCAGUAAGUCUUUGAAGUUGUGACAUCACACAUGUAAUUGUACUGAACGGAACAGGUUCAUGGAGAAUCUCCCAUUUUUACUGACAGCACCAAAAACAUAUGCUAAUACAAUGGUGUGAGUCGCCAUUCAUUAAACCACUUAUAUUGUAUUUCCAAUGAUAAUUGUGAAGGCAUGAAAGUGCAAAACAUACGCCCAGGAAGAACUUCUGGAGUGCUGGCAAAUUAAGACCCUGUCAUGUCUUGAGGGGCAGAAGAUUUUAUCAUAUUCGCUGCUUUGCUAAUAUAAUAGCUAAUUAUGCUAAUAUAAUGUAAUAUAUAUAAUAUAUAAUAAUAGUCAAUAUUUGGGAAGAUUUUCUACAUGUUAAUAGUUGCAAAACUGUAUUCCUUUUUUUUUUUUUNNNNNNNNNNNNNNNNNNNNNNNNNNNNNNNNNNNNNNNNNNNNNNNNNNNNNNCGUCUCACUGCAACCUCUGCCUCCUUGGUUCACACAGACAUGUGUAUAGACAUGUCCACAUACAUGAACAGAUUUCUAUACCUUCUAUUCUACUCCGUCAGUCUAUUUCAGAACGUGUAUCACACUAUGCUAAUUAUUAUAGCUCGAGGAUAAGGACAGGAUGGGAAGAAGUAUUACUUGGCCAGGCACAGUGGCUCACACCUGUAAUCCCAGUACUUUGGGAGGCUGAGGCGGGCAGAUCACCUGAGGUCAGGAGUUCAAGACCAGCUUGGCCAACAUGGCAAAACCCUGUCCCUACUAAAAACACAAAAAUUAGCUGGGCAUGCUGGCAGACAUCUGUAAUUCCACCUACUCGGGAGGCUGAGGCAGGAGGAAUUGCUUGAACCCAGAAGGUGGAGGCUGCACUAAGCCCAUAUCAUGCCACUGCACUGCAGCCUGGGCAACAGAGUGAAACUGCAUCUCAAAAAAAUAAAUAAAUAAAAAUUUUAAAAGGUAUUACUUAACCUUAACCCUAGGAAAUAUGAGAGUAAAGAUGAACAUGUAGGUAACAAUUUAGCCAUGAAAGAUUUCCUCCAACUCAUCCCUACCUUAUGUGUCUGGGGAUGUUCCAUGGGGGAAACAGUCUGUGUUUCAGUCACGUGUUGAUGAUUUGCAGUUCCCAUAGAGACAGGCCUUGGAGACCUACAGUAAGAUUUAACCUUGUAAAGCUCAUAAUUGCUGUAACAGACAAGUUUUAGCCUUUUGUCUGUUUUAUUGCUACAUAGCACCACACAGGGAUGGAACAGUGUUCUUUCAUGUCGAAGGUUUGGAACUCUUCUGUUUUUUCCCUUUGAUUCCUUCUCUUUUCUGGCUACACAAGAACGUUUGAAGGGAUAAUGAGGACAGUGAUACCAGAACUGCAGAAAGCAAGUUGCUGCAAUUUUAAGGGUAUUGCAAAAUCUGAGAUUCUGGUCCUAUUCUCGAGUGGCUCAAUGGAGUAUUCCGAGUAUUCUUUUUUCAUCUUUAGUUUUCCUUUUCAUCCUUAACUAUGGUAUCAACAAUUAUUACAGAUAGAAAUGAAAAUAUCAGUGAUGCUGCUUAGUUGUAGCCAUAGAUGAUUUCCUUGUUUAGUGGUGCUCAUAAGAGCCUAAAGCUGUGUUCUUUCUAUUUGCUCAGUAAAUGUAAUUGAAGCUAUUUCAUGUUUUUUUUGAAGGUGCUGAGCAAAGAGACAAGUGAUUUCUCAUUUUGCUAUAAUUUCUUAGUGAUAGCAAAUUGAUGUCUUAUCAAAAACAUGCCUUGCUUGUUUGCAGUUUGCUUUGGCUAUUGAACUAAUAAUAGCAGUUUGAAAAGUUUAUCAGGUUUUGAUAAACGUAACAGUUGUUUUGUGUUCAAGUCUUUGAGAGUGGGUAGAGUUUUUUGUUUUGUUUUUUUCACUUAGAUGUAGUGAUGUAGUCUACAAGCAAAGGCAUCUGAAAAUAGCCUAAAAGACAAACAGCUGCGAUUCAGACUUUGUUGGAGCUUAUAAUCCAACCCCAUGCAUCCUAAAAAACUUAAUUGAGUUCGUGAAGACUGCGUUAAGCAAAUGAGGUUUAAAAGUCAAAUAUCAGUGAAAGAUAUAAAACGUAUAUCAGUUUGGGCAGUCAGUGCACAAUAAUAAAAAGAGGCAGGAACUUCCUUAAUAAAAUAGUGGAAUGUGCCAUUUAUUCUAAAAGUGUGUGGCAAAACUGUGAUAGGAGACGUUCCAGCAGCCUCUGUUGCUCACUUUUCCAUUUCUUUUUCAUGUCCACCUUCAAAC
rnacentral:lncRNA from 1 species